rnacentral:lncRNA from 1 species
UGCCCUAAUAGUGGCUGCAUAGUCAUGCAACCUAGUGUAUUACUGCUUCAAAUCUCCUAAUAUAAAUUUCUUCGCUUUCCUUUUAACUCUAUAGCACGAAUGAAUGGAAACCUCAACUCUAAGUUUUCUCUGGAUCCUCUUCUUCAUUGCAUUUACCUCCCAAUCUGGAUUAUCUCUCAAUUCAUCCAUAAAUUUGUCUGAUAUGUAUUUUGAAUUCACCAAAUUAUUCUUGAAACUCCUUGGAC